rnacentral:misc_RNA from 1 species
AAUGGAAUGGCAGAAAUGGCAAUGACUAUGUUUAGGCUUCCUGUAUUUUUUAAGCAGAGGGAUUUCUUGUUCUAUCCAGCAUGGGCUUUUGCAUUACCAAUUUGGGUGCUGAGGAUCCCAGUCUCCUUAAUGGAGUCAGGGAUAUGGAUAAUUCUCACAUAUUACACCAUUGGAUUUGCUCCUGCUGCCAGUAGGUUUUUCAAACAAUUCCUAGCAUUCUUUAGUGUGCAUCAGAUGGCUCUAUCACUCUUCCGUUUCAUUGCUUCAAUUGGAAGAACAGAAGUUGUGGCAAACACACUUGGUACCUUUACAUUGCUUGUGGUUUUUGUCCUUGGUGGAUU